AACUGCGAAUGGCUCAUUAAAUCAGUUAUCGUCUAUUUGAUAGUACCUUACUACUUGGAUAACCGUGGUAAUUCUAGAGCUAAUACAUGCUGCAAAGCCCGACUUCGGAAGGGGCUGUAUUUAUUAGAUUAAAAAACCAAUGCCCUCCGGGGGCUCACUGGUGAUUCAUGAUAACUUCUCGAAUCGCACGGCCUUGCGCCGGCGAUGGUUCAUUCAAAUUUCUGCCCUAUCAACUUUCGACGGCUGGGUAUUGGCCAGCCGUGGUGACAACGGGUAACGGAGGGUUAGGGCUCGACCCCGGAGAAGGAGCCUGAGAAACGGCUACUACAUCCAAGGAAGGCAGCAGGCGCGCAAAUUACCCAAUCCCGACACGGGGAGGUAGUGACAAUAAAUACUGAUACAGGGCUCUUUUGGGUCUUGUAAUUGGAAUGAGUACAAUUUAAUUCCCUUAACGAGGAACAAUUGGAGGGCAAGUCUGGUGCCAGCAGCCGCGGUAAUUCCAGCUCCAAUAGCGUAUAUUAAAGUUGUUGCAGUUAAAAAGCUCGUAGUUGAACCUUGGGCCUGGCUGGCCGGUCCGCCUCACCGCGUGCACUGGUCCGGCCGGGCCUUUCCCUCUGGGGAGCCGCAUGCCCUUCACUGGGCGUGCCGGGGAACCAGGACGUUUACUUUGAAAAAAUUAGAGUGUUCAAAGCAGGCUUAUGCUCGAAUACAUUAGCAUGGAAUAAUGGAAUAGGACGCGUGGUUCUAUUUUGUUGGUUUCUAGGACCGCCGUAAUGAUUAAUAGGGACAGUCGGGGGCAUCAGUAUUCAGCUGUCAGAGGUGAAAUUCUUGGAUUUGCUGAAGACUAACUACUGCGAAAGCAUUUGCCAAGGAUGUUUUUCAUUAAUCAGGAACGAAAGUUAGGGGAUCGAAGACGAUCAGAUACCGUCGUAGUCUUAAACCAUAAACUAUGCCGACUAGGGAUCGGACGGUGUUAUUCUUUGACCCGUUCGGCACCUUACACG
rnacentral:rRNA from 1 species